rnacentral:rRNA from 1 species
CCUACGGGAGACAGCAGUGGGGGAUAUUGCACAAUGGGGGGAACCCUGAUGCAGCGACGCCGCGUGGGUGAAGAAGCGCCUCGGCGCGUAAAGCCCUGUCAGCAGGGAAGAAAAUGACGGUACCUGAAGAAGAAGCCCCGGCUAACUACGUGCCAGCAGCCGCGGUAAUACGUAGGGGGCAAGCGUUAUCCGGAUUUACUGGGUGGAAAGGGGGCGCAGAGGGCGAUGCAAGCCAGGAGUGAAAGCCCGGGGCCCAACCCCGGGACUGCUCUUGGAACUGCGUGGCUGGAGUGCAGGAGGGGCAGGCGGAAUUCCUGGUGUAGCGGUGAAAUGCGUAGAUAUCAGGAGGAACACCGGUGGCGAAGGCGGCCUGCUGGACUGCAACUGACGUUGAGGCCCGAAAGCGUGGGGAGCAAACAGGAUUAGAUACCCGAGUAGUC